GACGAACGCUGGCGGCGUGCUUAACACAUGCAAGUCGAACGGAAAGGCCCUGCUUUUGUGGGGUGCUCGAGUGGCGAACGGGUGAGUAACACGUGAGUAACCUGCCCUUGACUUUGGGAUAACUUCAGGAAACUGGCUAAUACCGGAUAGGAGCUCCUGCUGCAUGGUGGGGGUUGGAAAGUUUCGGCGGUUGGGGAUGGACUCGCGGCUUAUCAGCUUGUUGGUGGGGUAGUGGCUUACCAAGGCUUUGACGGGUAGCCGGCCUGAGAGGGUGACCGGCCACAUUGGGACUGAGAUACGGCCCAGACUCCUACGGGAGGCAGCAGUGGGGAAUAUUGCACAAUGGGCGGAAGCCUGAUGCAGCAACGCCGCGUGCGGGAUGACGGCCUUCGGGUUGUAAACCGCUUUCGCCUGUGACGAAGCGUGAGUGACGGUAAUGGGUAAAGAAGCACCGGCUAACUACGUG
rnacentral:rRNA from 1 species